rnacentral:lncRNA from 1 species
AUCACUCAGCUGCAUCUCGAGAAUCAGCAGAAUAGCCAACUGGGGCAUUACAAAAAAGAAAAAAAGAAAAAAAAAAGAGGAGGGUGCAAAAUCAAAAGAAAUCAAAAGAAAUCCAAAUCAAAAGAAAGAAAAAGAAAGAAAGAAACAAAAGAAAAAAAUAGCACCCUCGAAGUCCCAAGUUAACUGAUGCUGAAUGGAUUCAGAGUCGUUACGACCAAGUGAAUCCGAUCGAAAAGAAG